rnacentral:rRNA from 1 species
GAACGCUAGCGGCAGGCUUAAAUACAUGCAAGUCGAGGGGCAGCAGCUUUGUAGCAAUACAGGGGCUGGCGACCGGCAAACGGGUGCGGAACACGUACGCAACCUUCCUUUAACUGGAAGAUAGCCCACCGAAAGGUGGAUUAAUACUCCAUAACAUAUUGAAGAGGCAUCUCUUUGAUAUUAAAGCUCCGGCGGUUAAAGAUGGGCGUGCGUCUGAUUAGGUAGUUGGCGGGGUAACGGCCCACCAAGCCUUCGAUCAGUAGCUGAUGUGAGAGCAUGAUCAGCCACACGGGCACUGAGACACGGGCCCGACUCCUACGGGAGGCAGCAGUAAGGAAUAUUGGUCAAUGGACGCAAGUCUGAACCAGCCAUGCCGCGUGGAGGAUGAAGGCCCUCUGGGUUGUAAACUUCUUUUCUUUGGGACGAAACCCCUGUUUCUACGGGGACUGACGGUACCAGAGGAAUAAGCACCGGCUAACUCCGUG